UACGUAGGGGGCAAGCGUUGUCCGGAUUUAUUGGGCGUAAAGAGCGUGUAGGCGGCCAUACAGGUCCGUUGUGAAAACUAGAGGCUUAACCUCUAGACGUCGAUGGAAACUGUUUGGCUAGAGUCCGGAAGAGGAGAAUGGAAUUCCUGGUGUAGCGGUGAAAUGCGCAGAUAUCAGGAAGAACACCCGUGGCUAAGGCGGUUCUCUAGUACGGUACUGACGCUGAGACGCGAAAGCGUGGGGAGCGAACAGG
rnacentral:rRNA from 1 species